ACGGGUGAGUAACGCGUAGGAAUCUACCUAGUAGAGGGGGACAACAUGUGGAAACGCAUGCUAAUACCGCAUACGCCCUACGGGGGAAAGGAGGGGAUCUUCGGACCUUUCGCUAUGAGAUGAGCCUGCGUUAGAUUAGCUAGUUGGUAGGGUAAAGGCCUACCAAGGCGACGAUCUAUAGCUGGUCUGAGAGGACGAUCAGUCACACUGGAACUGAGACACGGUCCAGACUCC
rnacentral:rRNA from 1 species